AAUAUGGGAGUGAGUUCAUAAAGCCCAGGGCGCCUGUCAAACCUCUGUAUGCAAACACACUUGCAGUUUGCUUUAAGUUUAUCCGGCGCUGUGUCUUGUGAUGGAGCCCAGAGGGCAAGGCUGGCAUACGCCAGGCUAUCAGUACCAGUCUAGUAACAGAGAUGACAACUACAGAUCCUCCCACCAAACACCAUAUUACCACCCACCUACAGACCCGAGAGGGAGAGAAAGACAGUGGCCUCAUGUGGAUCCUCGCUAUGGAAGCUACAUGGCCAGUCCUCCUCCUAAACCAGAGUAUAUUCCUGGAUAUAGUAGUGCUUAUGCAUCUAACCAACCAUUACACUUCAGACCUCAUUCCAGGCAGGAAUAUGACUACCCCGCAUCCAACUACUGGCCCUACAGAGAAGACUACGGGUCCUACAGAGAAGACUACGGGUAUUAUGAUUAUCAUGGUUAUCACAGAUCACAAUACAGCUCCCCAGAUGGUGGUGGCUGGAGAACAGAGGGGUAUCAGGGCAGAGGACUGCAGCAGGAGUCAGCAAGAGCUUCGUACUUCGAUCAGCAGGGCUAUAGCCAUAGAACAGACAGUCAAUAUGACCAUGGAGUCUCAGAGAGACAGCACAGAGAAAGUGUGGAAAAUGGAGAUGGAACUGGAGAG
ensembl:lncRNA